GACUUUCCAGUUAAAAAAAUAAACAAAUGAUAGAAGUGAAAACUUUAAAUCUUGAAAGAUAUAAAUAACGUUCGUUACAAAAAGCAGUUAUUUUAGAGUCCAACACUAAGUCAUAUAACAUCAAAACAUAGAAUAUUAAAGUCGUGUUGUUAAUUAGCAGGUUGUCUCUUACGUUAUUGCAUUGUUUAUAUCUUCUAUUUAUUUCUUAUCGUUUAUGAAAUACGAUAGCUUGUGUACAAAUGUGGUUAGUUAUGUUUAUUGAAUGUAACCGAUCAAAUUGAACAGGAGUAUUCAAGUGUAAUGGUGUUAUUUACAUAUAUGUGUUUACGUCUGUACUUGUACAUUUUAAAAAAUUAAAAAGAGCUCCCAUAAAUAACUACUGACAUUAAAGAGAAACUUUAAAAAUCAUUUUUUAAAACAUUACAAUAAUGAUGAUAAAAAAGGACUAUGGAAGAUGUUGUUUUUGUGUGGAUUUGAAAACAGCGUCCUACACUAUAGGCUACUUUCUCGCAGUUGUCCACACAGCGUUGUUACUGAUAGUAACAUAUACGAUAGUGAGUGUACCUCUAACACUAUCAGUAAAUGAUCCUCGAGAUAUGAAGAAGUUAAUGGCUAUUUUGGCAUUUGGACAGAUUGCUUUUCCCAUCUGUGUAUCGAAUAUAAAAUUUAUAAUAAUACUACUAGUUGGAUUGCAUGUGAAAAGUAUUCUGCGAAUUAAGGUGUAUUUGAUAUGCGCAACGUGUAUGGCAGUAUUUACAGUCAUCGCAGGGUUUGCUAUGGAAUUCCUUUUCCACAUAGAUCUUGCUGCUAGCAUAUCUGUUCUUAUUAAUCUGUUGAACGCCUAUUUCAUACACACUAUUUGGAGAUAUAUGAAGCAAAUCGAACCUAAGAACACAAAAUUACAAAAGGAAACAGUUUGAAAUAAGCGAAUAUGUGACAUAAAAAAUAUUAUUGACAGAUCUUUUAACGACAAAAAAAACAGUGAGGAAGGACUUAAGUUAACUAAGUAUAAAAAUACCACACGAUUAUUGAGACUACGAUUUUUAAAAGAAACUAUUGACUCUAAUGUUUCAUUUUUAAGGUGGCAAAAAACUUAAUCAGCCUUGAAAUAUGAAGCAUUUUUUAUUUUAAUAUUUUAAAUGCCUAUACAGUUUUUGUAACUUUCGGAAAUAAACUAUUGUUUUUUAA